rnacentral:rRNA from 1 species
CGCGUAGGCGGCUUGGUAGGUCAAAGGUGAAAUCCCUCGGCUCAACUGAGGAACUGCCUUUGAAACCACCUCGCUAGAGACCGGGAGGGGGCGGCGGAAUUCCUGGUGUAGCGGUGAAAUGCGUAGAUAUCAGGAGGAACACCGGUGGCGAAGGCGGCCGCCUGGACCGGUUCUGACGCUGAGGCGCGAAAGCGUGGGGAGCAAACAGGAUUAGAUACCCUGGUAGUCCACGCCGUAAACGAUGGGCACUCGGUGCCGCGGGUGUUGACCCCUGCGGUGCCUUAGCUAACGCGUUAAGUGCCCCGCCUGGGGAGUACGGUCGCAAGGCUGAA